rnacentral:sRNA from 1 species
GGUACAGACUGGAGAACAAGAGAGGCGAGAAGAAGAAUUAUGA